GACGAACGCUGGCGGCGUGCUUAACACAUGCAAGUCGAACGGAAAGGCCCUGCUUUUGUGGGGUGCUCGAGUGGCGAACGGGUGAGUAACACGUGAGUAACCUGCCCUUGACUUUGGGAUAACUUCAGGAAACUGGGGCUAAUACCGGAUAGGAGCUCCUGCUGCAUGGUGGGGGUUGGAAAGUUUCGGCGGUUGGGGAUGGACUCGCGGCUUAUCAGCUUGUUGGUGGGGUAGUGGCUUACCAAGGCUUUGACGGGUAGCCGGCCUGAGAGGGUGACCGGGCACAUUGGGGACGGGAGUCGGGCCAGACCCCCACGGGAGGGAGGAGUGGGGAAAUAUGGAACAAGGGCGGAAGGCCGAAGGAAGCAAGCCGGCUGCGGGAAUGAGGCCUUUGGGGUGGAAACCGCUUUCGCCUGUGACGAAGCGUGAGUGACGGUAAUGGGUAAAGAAGCACCGGCUAACUACGU
rnacentral:rRNA from 1 species